UCACACAAGAACAGUGCGCUGAUUGGACAGUUUUACUAUCGUUAUUAAAGAACAGCCAAUCCUAAUUCAGGAGGCGGGCUUUGUCAGAAAAUGGGUAGCCUGAAAGCGCGGUGUUUGGUCACAUGACCUGUGCAGGGCGUGUGCGCAUGUGCAACCCAAGUCACGUGGCCAGAAGAGAAACGCGUGAUUGAGGAAAGUGUCAAUAAUUACAGUAACAGCUCAUCCUUGGUGAGCUGUAUGGUGGACAUUCCACAUAAACAGAUGUGUUGACAUGAUGAAGUUUUCUGUGCGGAGAUCGUUAUUUAUCAGUUUUGGAAGGAGUCUUCAGCGCUUUCUGACAGUCAGAGAGAUCUAGAGGAGAAACGUAUAAACCCCACACCACUGCGACAGAGCUCCUUCCCCAGUAACUCAACCAGACCACACCAGUCCAGACCAGACCAGGAUUUUAAAACAGAUUGUACAGACCGAUGCAAAGAGAACGGCGAAAGGAUCCACAGUGGAAUGCAGAAGCCAAGCAGUACCUGCAGAUAAGUUAGCUGGUGACACACUUCCACCAUCAUGUCUGUAUUUGUGUCGAGUUUUGGGUGCUCCGAUGGCGCUGUUGUUUCUUCUGCACUUUUUCACGUGCCAGUGAUGAGACUUCCUGCCACCUU